rnacentral:miRNA from 1 species
AAAUUUUAUUCGCCAACAAUCGCAUAUAAAAUGGAAUCUCUCAAAUAAGUGCAAUAAUUUGAGAGAUUCCAUUUUAUAUGCGAUUGUUGGCGAAUAAAAUUUGUUCCUGC